rnacentral:rRNA from 1 species
AUCCGGUCGAAAUUCCGGACCCGCGAUAUGGGCAAUGGGAAGACGCUUUUGGAAUUCUGAUCCCGCACUGUUGGUAGUUGCGGGCUAGGUGGAGGCUGGGCCAUAUGAAAGUUUGGCGGAAAGGCUGAUACCGGGGAAGGGCGCCCUUCGGGGCAAACGAACUCAGAUGAACGAGGGCCGAGAAAAUCCCCUCAGCUUUAACCAUAUUUGCGACCGUACUGUAAACCGACACAG